AGCAGCCUACGGGGCGCAGCAGUGAGGAAUAUUGGUCAACGGCCGAGAGGCUGAACCAGCCACGUCGCGUGAGGGAAGACGGCCCUACGGGUUGUAAACCUCUUUUGUCGGGGAGCAAAGAGAGUCACGUGUGACUCAUUGAGAGUACCCGAAGAAAAAGCAUCGGCUAACUCCGUGCCAGCAGCCGCGGUAAUACGUAGGGGGCAAGCGUUAUCCGGAUUUACUGGGUGUAAAGGGAGCGUAGACGGCAGCGCAAGUCUGGAGUGAAAUCCCAUGGCUUAACCAUGGAACUGCUUUGGAAACUG
rnacentral:rRNA from 1 species